GCGAGGGUGAUGGAAUUGGCAGACAUGCGAGACUUAGGAUCUCGUGCCGCAAGGCGUAAGGGUUCAAAUCCCUUCCCUCGCACCA
rnacentral:tRNA from 1 species